GAGAGAUGAACUCAGCCUGGAGUACUUUAAGUGGUAACUGCUCCAGUUUUCUCUUCCCUUCUCUGGGCUCCUCUCUUUGCUUCCGACCAGGUUCCACUCCUGUUUAUCCCUGGGUGGUUCGCCCCUGGAUUUAGCAAUGCGAUCUACUUGCUGGUUAUUUGAUUCCGGAGGAGCAUUGGCUGGGGCUGCGAUUCCCGCCGCGCAGUCUCCAAGCAUUUCCGCCACAUCGCCGGGGCUCCAGGUUCCAGUGCAAGUCUUCAGCGGUAGAUUGCAGAACUGAAAACGAGUUUGAGCAUCCAAGCAUCUCUCUUAACAGCCAGGUGCUGACCAGUAAGAUUCCAUACAAAUCUGCAAAAGGACUCUGGAGGACAAAUACUUCAGCAGACACCAUGAAGUCCUGGAGAGUCUCCACAAAAACCGUGAGUGUUUCUCCCGUGUAUAGUCAAGGAAGUGGAUAACCCAGUAUUCCAAGAAAUCCCAAGGUAGAGCCUUCACCUCAAGGAGGAGGCCACGUCUGAAGGCACAGAAGAGAAAGUGCUGCUUUCUGGCUUCCCUUUAAACUUGGAAGCUUUGUGGACUUGAGGGCAAGUGAUGAAAUCGCCCCAGCUUGGACUCCAGGAAGAUCCAAAUGAGCACUUCCAAGUAGGAUGUGGAGGGUGACUUCUUUUGCCUUCAGGACUGUCCCACUUGCUGUCCCGCUUAGCUGAAAGAACUAAGUCUCCUAAAUAAGUAUUUGUGGUUCACCAAAGUGAACAAAGUAUAUAUCCAAAUAUUGAUUCAGAAUCCAAAAGACCUCUGCCUCUCUGGAUUGAAUAACUUUCCUUCUUUUUCCUCUUUCCUUUACAUUUUAUACCCGGACAAAGCAGUGUGGGGACCUUCAGUGUGCACUGAUGAUGAAUCAGCCUUGGAACCUGUCUGUGGCAUGAACCUGGGAGAUCAGAGCUUAAAAAUGAUGUGGAUUAAAGUCUCAAGCAAUAGCCAACUUUACUCAGAGCAUCUGGCAAUUUAUCCUCUGAGGGAUGAGAAGAGUCACCUCUGUGAAGUGUACAGUUACAAAGACAAGCUGCAUGUGGGAGAAAACAAACAAAC